AAAGAAAUCCACAGCUUAGCAACGCAUCCUACGCUACCACCAGAAAUCCUUCAAAGGCAUUUGCAACCAUGCCGAUCGUGAGGCGCAGCAACAUCUUUGAUCCCAUCUCUGUCGACGUUUUCAACACCUUCCCCGGCUUCGCGAGCGAAACCUCCGCCUUCGCCAACACCCGCAUCGACCGGAAGGAGACGCUCGAUGCCCACAUCUUCAAGGCCGACCUCGCCGGGGUGAACAAGGAGGAGGUGGAGAAACGCAGGGUCCUUCAGAUCAGCAGCGUGCGGAACGAGGAGCAGAAGGAGAAGAACGACAAAAGGCACAGCGUGGAGAGGAGGUUCCGGCAGUCGGAGAACGAGCAGGUUCUGGCUCG
rnacentral:lncRNA from 1 species